rnacentral:pre_miRNA from 1 species
AGGAGGAACAGCCCCAGUGGCGGGGCCAGCUCUGGAGCCCUGGAUUCACCCCCGCAGGAACUCCGGGGCUCUCCGUCCGCAGGGCCUGGAGGCUCCGGGGCGGG